UACGUAGGUGGCAAGCGUUGUCCGGAUUUACUGGGCGUAAAGGGCGUGCAGGCGGUCUGUUAAGUUCAGGGUGAAAGCUCCCGGCUCAACUGGGAGAGGUCCUUGGAUACUGGCAGACUUGAGGGAGGUAGAGGAGAGUGGAAUUCCCGGUGUAGUGGUGAAAUGCGUAGAUAUCGGGAGGAACACCAGUGGGCGGAAGGCGGGUCUGCUGGGCCGAUAUUGACGCUGAGGAAGCGAAAGGCGUGGGGAGCGAACAGG
rnacentral:rRNA from 1 species